rnacentral:lncRNA from 1 species
CUGGUGUUAGCUGGAUUUGUGUAGAGUUGAGGUGAGAUAUGUCUAGGAAGAUGGGGAAGAGUGUGGAUGGAAAUCAGCUUUUGUUUAACAAUCAUUUGAUCUUUAAUUUUCAUUUUCUUUUAAUGUUUCUUUUUUCCUUUUUUCUUUCUUUCUUUUUUUUUUUUAGAGGUGAGAUCUUGCAAUGUUGCCCAGGCUGGUCUUUGCUCCCAGGCUCAGACAGCCUUUCCACUCCGGCCUCAGAGUCCUGGGAUUAUAGGCGUGAGCCAUGAUGCCAAGCCCAAUCUUAAGUUUCAGAAUAGACAAUGAUCAGAUUUUAGGCUUGUGAGAAAUUCAGGUAUCCUUGAAGCACAGUCUAGCAACAUUCAUAGGCAGCGAGAUAAGAACUAGGCAAAGGGAAACUAGGCCAGCCUACUGGGGCUCCAACUCAACCACAUGCUGGCCUGGAUUCUGGGAGCCCAGAAGGGUACAAGC